GAACAGUGUUCACCAGAACUGGUAUUGUGUGCCUGUGAUUCCUGAGGGUCAUGAGUUCAGAUCAUCCUCAGCUACAAAGGCCCCUCGCCGUUGCCUCCGUCUGUCACCGCGAGCAUCCAAGCGCAGAAAGGAAAUGCGAAGCGAGACAGCUGUACGGGAGGCUUCGCCUUCUAAAGAAGUUGACAGACAAAUGGCACAGGGGUCCCUGCUCUUGCCAGCUGAGGGCUUAGCUUCCAGAAAGCGCCCCUCUAGGGGAACAAGCGAGGCAGUGUGGAGCUGCUGAAAGGCCUCAUUGAGGCUACAGCCCGAGGCUCUUGUAGCUCAUUGUCUGGUAUGCGGCGCCCUUCCGAAACCGCUCUCCACAGUUCUGCACCCCCCAACCCCCAAAUCUCAGAAACCAUCCCCUGCCCUCCGUUACACUUGGUGCUUCAAAUGAAAUUCUCAAAAGGUA